rnacentral:rRNA from 1 species
CAGUAGCCACGGGAAAACGUAGGGUGCGAGCGUUAAUCGGAAUUACUGGGCGUAAAGCGUGCGCAGGCGGUUCGUUAAGACAGAUGUGAAAUCCCCGGGCUUAACCUGGGAACUGCAUUUGUGACUGGCGAGCUAGAGUAUGGCAGAGGGGGGUAGAAUUCCACGUGUAGCAGUGAAAUGCGUAGAGAUGUGGAGGAAUACCGAUGGCGAAGGCAGCCCCCUGGGUCAAUACUGACGCCCAUGCGCGAAAGCGUGGGGAGCAAACAGGAUUAGAGACCCCAGUAGUCCCUGUCUCUUAUAC